rnacentral:rRNA from 1 species
AUGAAGACCCUCACCUAUUUCCUUGCCUUGUGUCUAGCCACCACCACCUUGCUCUUCACCGGCGGCAAAUCAUGCCCACACGAUCCGGUGCUGACCGUCGCAGCCGCAUGCCACCAGGUGAGCGGAGGGCAGCCCAUGCUGGAGCUCUGCACCAAGACGCUCCACGCCGCAGCAAAUGACAAGGCCGAUGCGGUCAGCAGUUAUGCCUAUAGAGGUGCGGCCGCGGCCGUACAAUCGUGUGUAGACACCGAGCGCGCCGGCUCGCAGUUGCUGCGGAAUCCGUCGCUCCCCAAGCAGCUGCAAGCGGCGUACAACCACUGCAUCGACAGGUACGGCGUAGCGCACAAGAAGAUCAACGCCAUAGGUCAGGCCUUGUACAGCUGCGGGUUCCCAAAAACCUUCAGGCAGGACUGCGCGGAUGCCGCCGCCGCAAUCGACGAUUGCGCUCGUAACUUGCAGGCCGCCGACCCGUCGUCGCCUUUGUACAAGCUGGCCUUGACUGGCCGGGAACUGACCGCCGUCACUUGCUCGCUGGCACUCCUCGGUGAAGCUGGGCAUUAA